AGUGGAUGGACAGCAGACGUCAUUUCCGUAUCGUCAUUCACUUUUCAAAUUUGACGCGCCAUGCAGAUGUCAGCGGCAAAUCACAUUAGUGUGCGUAAAGGGACGGAGCUACCACCAAUACAGAAAUGCACAGAGUGCUGCAGCCGGUAUCACUGCCCGCUGUGCAAUUCAAAAAUUUUUAAACCCACAGACCGAUACCGUGUAAUCAUUCAUUUAAAGGCUCACCUUGCGAGAUCUGUAAAAUACAAAGGUGGGUACAUUUUCUCAAUAUGACACACCAUUUGUAUAUUGUUUGAAUCUGUAGUUAAUGUUUUUUUGUGUGUUUGUUUCCACAGGCUAUUGCAUGUACAAGUGCAACCUUGGUUGCAAGGCACAGGCUCACUUUCAUCGUGUUUGUAAAUCAGUUUUUUUCCAUAAGAAUAGGUUAAUCAAUCAUUUAAGUAAAAGCCAUUGUACAUCACCUGGCAAAGAGCUCCAAACAUUACUACCAGGAUAUACCCUGACAGCGCUUACCAGGAAAGAGGCUGAGAUAUCUCUCACUGGAGAUGACGAUGAAACAGUGCUUACCAGGAAAGAGGCUGAGACAUCUCUCACUCUAAUCAUAUUGUACAUCUGUUCUUGCUUUAGGUGUGGUGAAUGUCAAAAAACUGCCCCAGGCUGUAAGAGACAUGUGUGUCCCUUUUAAAAUUGUGCAUUGCAGAAAUUGCAGAUGUUUUUUCAAAGACUGGGUGGGGUACUGUGGAAACCUGCGAGGGUUUUAUACAGAGCCUGAAUUUCCUGAGCAUUGCCCAGACUGCCAGUUUUAGGGGGCAGGAAUGAGGUGUGGUGUGCACAGUGUGCAAUAGUUUAUUUGGAACUGUUCAUUUUACUAAUUAGAUUGUGUAAUUUCCAAUAAAUAUUGCAAAACCAUGAAGUGUUAAUUUGAUCUGGAUUGUUUGGUAACUUGUCUGAUCAUGUGAAUCUACGUAUAUUUUAAAAACAGAAGUGGUUACAUUUUACAAAAAAAAAUCUGAAUUGAAUAUCCAAAUGGGCAAGGCAAAAAACUGUGGGCAAUUAACAUGUACAAGUCUGUUGUAUUGACAAAACGUUAUAGUCCAUUGAUCUAGGCUGAAUUUAAGUCACAAAAAAUAGUGAUAUGAUCUGAACAAUAUAUAUUUUCAAGGUGGUUCUUGUGAAUGCAGUUUGCAUGAAUUAUUGAUGUUAUAAUAUUAAGUAUAUUAUUGAGAAUUGUUUUAAGUAAAGAGAUAUGAUAAAGAUCAUAUUUCAAUUUGCACACAGCUUUUAUAGAAUGCUGUCUAUCCACUGGUGAAAACCGAAAAUAAAUAUGCUGUCUAUCCAUAGGUGAAAAUAUAAAAUAAAUAUAUGUCAAUCCAGAGGUGAAAAUAUAAAUUAAAUAUGUUGUCUAUCCAGAGGUGAAAAUAUAAAUUAAAUAUGUUGUCUAUCCAGAGGUGAAAAUAUAAAUUAAAUAUGUUGUCUAUCCAGAGGUGAAAAUAGGAAAUAAAAUUGCUGUCCAUCCAGCGGUGAAAACGGAAAUUAGCGGCGAAACGGAAAUGACGGAGAAAAUGGAAAUGACGUAGGCUGUCUAUCCACUGGUGUCCAGCCACUGGUG